rnacentral:rRNA from 1 species
GUGCCAGCAGCCGCGGUAAUACGGAGGGUGCGAGCGUUAAUCGGAAUUACUGGGCGUAAAGGGUGCGUAGGCGGUUGGAUCAGUCGGAUGUGAAAGCCCCGGGCUUAACCUGGGAAUUGCAUUCGAUACUGUUCGGCUAGAGUACGAUAGAGGGUGGUGGAACUCCAGGUGUAGCGGUGAAAUGCGUAGAUAUCUGGAAGAACACCAGUGGCGAAGGCGGCCACCUGGAUCGUAACUGACGCUGAGGCACGAAAGCGUGGGGAGCAAACAGGAUUAGAUACCCUGGUAGUCCACGCCCUAAACGAUGAGAACUAACCGCUGGGAGGAUUAGCCUUUCAGUGGCGUAGCUAACGCGUUAAGUUCUCCGCCUGGGGAGUACGGCCGCAAGGUUGAAACUUAAAUGAAUUGGCGG